GAUGAAGAACGCAGCGAAAGGCGAUAAGUAAUGUGAAUUGCAGAAUUCAGUGAAUCAUCGAAUCUUUGAACGCACAUUGCGCCCUCUGGUAUUCCGGGGGGCAUGCCUGUUCGAGCGUCAUUAUAACCACUCAAGCUCUCGCUUGGUAUUGGGGUUCGCGGUUCCGCGGCCCCUAAAAUCAGUGGCGGUGCCUGUCGGCUCUACGCGUAGUAAUACUCCUCGCGAUUGAGUCCGGUAGGUCUACUUGCCAGCAACCCCCAAUUUUUACAGGUUGACCUCGGAUCAGGUAGGGAUACCCGCUGAACUUAAGCAUAUCAAUAAGCGGAGGA
rnacentral:misc_RNA from 1 species